AUUGAACGCUGGCGGCAGGCCUAAUACAUGCAAGUCGAGCGAGCGGCGGACGGGUGAGUAAUGUAUGGGGACUGCCCGUUAGAGGGGGAUAACUAUUGGAAACGGUGGCUAAUACCGCAUACUAUCGGAUAACCCAUAUGGGAUUAGCUAGUAGGUGGGGUAAAGGCUCACCUAGGCGACGAUCACGAUCUGGUCUGAGAGGAUGAUCAGCCACACUGGGACUUAGACACGCCCGGGACUCCUACGGGGGCAGUAGUGGGGAAUCUUGCACAAUGGGCGCAGGCCUGAUGCAGCCAUGCCGCGUCUAUGAGGAAGGCCUUGGGGUUGUAAAGUACUUUCUGCGGGGAGGCGUUACCCGCAGAAGAAGCACCGGCUAACUCCGAGCCAGCAGCCGCGGUAAUAC
rnacentral:rRNA from 1 species